GACGAACGCUGGCGGCGUGCCUAAUACAUGCAAGUAGAACGCUGAAGGAGGAGCUUGCUCUUCUGGAUGAGUUGCGAACGGGUGAGUAACGCGUAGGUAACCUGCCUGGUAGCGGGGGAUAACUAUUGGAAACGAUAGCUAAUACCGCAUAAGAGUAGAUGUUGCAUGACAUUUACUUAAAAGGUGCAAUUGCAUCACUACGAGAUGGACCUGCGUUGUAUUAGCUAGUUGGUGGGGUAACGGCUUACCAAGGCGACGAUACAUAGCCGACCUGAGAGGGGGGUCGGCCGCCCUGAGACUGGGACACGGCCCAGACUCCUACGGGAGGCAGCAGGAGGGAAACUGCGGCAAUGGGCGGAAGACUGACCGAGCAGCGCCGCGUGAGUGAAGAAGGUUGUCGGAUCGUAAAGCUCUGUUGUAAGGGAAGAACGAGUGUGAGAGUGGAAAGUUCACACUGUGACGGUAUCUGACCAGAAAGCGACGGCUAACUACGUG
rnacentral:rRNA from 1 species